rnacentral:rRNA from 1 species
UACGGAGGGAGCGAGCGUUGUCCGAAGUUACUGGGCGUAAAGCGCGCGUAGGCGGGGAAUUAAGUGAGAAGUGAAAGGCUGGGGCUCAACCUCAUGCAGUGCUCCUCAUACUGGUUCUCUUGAGGGCGGUAGGGAGAAGUGGAAUGGCUGGUGUAGCGGUGAAAUGCGUAGAUAUCUGGAGGAAUACCGGUGGCGAAGGCGGCAUCCUGGACCAUAACUGACGCUGAGGCGCGAAAGCUAGGGGAGCAAACGGG